UGUAUGACGUGGUGGUGUAUAACAAAGUGUAAAUAACGUGGCGUUUUAAGAUGAAUGCUUUCGAGUUGCUGUUUUCUGUCGGAGUAUGAACUGAACAUGAAUUGACUUCAGUGACGAACUUUAAAACCAUCGAUGAAGUCUUUUGCAACUAAAAAUCAACAGAAUUGAAUGAAAAACGAAGUCUCAAGCCAAAGGGGUUCUGAUGGAUGUGUCCACUCUUACGUGAAAGAAUACGUUCAAUUCGACAUGAUCAUAGUAAAAGAGCAGAAACUGUGCAGGAUUCCAAGAACAGCUUGGGCUAUCAGGGACUAAACGACUGGUCCUCGCAGGACAUUGAGCCCUGGUUUGGUGGCGAGUCUCUGCGAGCAGAUGGCUGGAUUCCCUCACAGCCCCGCAGCCGUGACUGAAAUGCUUUCUCAUGCACAGAGCUGACCAUUCAUGCACACGUGUGCUCAUCGCCCCCUCCCUCCCGUCUUGCUCUCUCUUUUAUGGAAAACGCGCUCCGUAAUGGGCACAACAGGACCCGUUCUCCAUCCAGAUUAAAAUCACCCAGGCAGUCAUUUCCCAGAAGCAGAAAUGCAUAUCAGUUCCAUUUAAACUCGCUCUCCUUCUCUGACAGUUUUGAGGAAAUCUCGAGGCAAGCGUGUGAAGCACGACUAAUGGAAAACUUCACAGGAUUCACUCGUUCACUUAAGGCGAGACACUGGAGGCAAAAAAAACAUUUCAUGCGACUCAAUUUUUGGAUUUUCAUAUACUGCUUUUCCAGUCUAACUUAAAGAAAUUAUUCAGGAUACACAUUUCAGCAUUUCUUUUGUCACACCAAAUCAAUUUUUCUGUGGAUUUCAUUGAUGGUUGGUUAGGAUUCAAUAACAUUUGACUGCAAUAAAAUAAAAUAAUUUAAACUGUGGGGUUGCAAAAAAUGAAAUGUGUUUUUGAAAUGUGUGAAUAUUUGAACAUGUUUGUUCAAUGUGGACCAAUUUGAACUGCCACAUGAAAACAGGACUAUAGAGCAGCUCCUC
rnacentral:lncRNA from 1 species